AUUGAACGCUGGCGGCAUGCUUUACACAUGCAAGUCGAACGGUAACAGGCCUUCGGGUGCUGACGAGUGGCGAACGGGUGAGUAAUGCAUCGGAACGUACCCAGAGGUGGGGGAUAACGCAGCGAAAGCUGUGCUAAUACCGCAUGUGAUCUGAGGAUGAAAGCGGGGGACCGAGCAGCAAUGUUUGGCCUCGCGCCUUUGGAGCGGCCGAUGUCGGAUUAGCUAGUUGGUGGGGUAAAGGCCUACCAAGGCGACGAUCCGCAGCUGGUCUGAGAGGACGACCAGCCACACUGGGACUGAGACACGGCCCAGACUCCUACGGGAGGCAGCAGUGGGGAAUUUUGGACAAUGGGCGCAAGCCUGAUCCAGCAAUGCCGCGUGCGGGAAGAAGGCCUUCGGGUUGUAAACCGCUUUUGGCAGGAACGAAACGGUGUCCGCUAAUACCGGGCGCUAAUGACGGUACCUGCAGAAUAAGCACCGGCUAACUACGUG
rnacentral:rRNA from 1 species